rnacentral:rRNA from 1 species
CAGCCGCCGCGGUAAUACGUAGGGUGCGAGCGUUAAUCGGAAUUACUGGGCGUAAAGCGUGCGCAGGCGGUUCGUUAAGACAGAUGUGAAAUCCCCGGGCUUAACCUGGGAACUGCAUUUGUGACUGGCGAGCUAGAGUAUGGCAGAGGGGGGUAGAAUUCCACGUGUAGCAGUGAAAUGCGUAGAGAUGUGGAGGAAUACCGAUGGCGAAGGCAGCCCCCUGGGCCAAUACUGACGCUCAUGCACGAAAGCGUGGGGAGCAAACAGGAUUAGAUACCCCCGUAGUCCCUGUCUCUUAUAA